GAUGAACGCUGACAGAAUGCUUAACACAUGCAAGUCUUUGGCGAAGCUGUGCUUGCACAGCCUAGCCAAGGCGGACGGGUGAGUAACGCGUAAGGAACUUGCCCUGCAGUCAGGGAUAACAGACGGAAACGACUGAUAAGACCUGGUAAAGUCAGGCGGACUCAUGUCCAGCCUGAUGAAAAGAGAUGCUGCAGGAGAGCCUUGCGUCCUAUUAGCUUGUUGGUGGGGUAACGGCCCACCAAGGCGAUGAUAGGUAGCCGGCCUGAGAGGGUGGACGGCCACAAGGGGACUGAGAUACGGCCCUUACUCCUACGGGAGGCAGCAGUGGGGAAUAUUGGACAAUGGGGGCAACCCUGAUCCAGCAAUUCUGUGUGCACGAUGAAGGUUUUCGGAUUGUAAAGUGCUUUCAGCAGGGAAGAAAAAAAUGACGGCACCUGCAGAAGAAGCGACGGCUAAAUACGUG
rnacentral:rRNA from 1 species